GAUGAACGCUGGCGGCGUGCCUAAUACAUGCAAGUCGAGCGAACAGACGAGGAGCUUGCUCCUCUGACGUUAGCGGCGGACGGGUGAGUAACACGUGGAUAACCUACCUAUAAGACUGGGAUAACUUCGGGAAACCGGAGCUAAUACCGGAUAAUAUAUUGAACCGCGUGGUUCAAUAGUGAAAGACGGUUUUGCUGUCACUUAUAGAUGGAUCCGCGCCGCAUUAGCUAGUUGGUAAGGUAACGGCUUACCAAGGCAACGAUGCGUAGCCGACCUGAGAGGGUGAUCGGCCACACUGGAACUGAGGCACGGUCCAGACUCCUACGGGAGGCAGCAGUAGGGAAUCUUCCGCAAUGGGCGAAAGCUUGACGGAGCAACGCCGCGUGAGUGAUGAAGGUCUUCGGAUCGUAAAACUCUGUUAUUAGGGAAGAACAAAUGUGUAAGUAACUAUGCACGUCUUGACGGUACCUAAUCAGAAAGCCACGGCUAACUACGUG
rnacentral:rRNA from 1 species